rnacentral:rRNA from 1 species
GACAGAGGGUGCGAACGUUGCUCGGAAUUACUGGGCGUAAAGCGUGUGUAGGCGGCCACGCAAGUCGGAUGUGAAAGCCCUGGGCUCAACCCCAGGAAGUGCACCCGAUGACUGCGCGGCUUGAGUACCGGAGAGGUUGGUGGAAUUCUCGGUGUAGAGGUGAAAUUCGUAGAUAUCGAGAGGAACACCGGUGGCGAAGGCGGCCAACUGGACGAGUACUGACGCUGAGACACGAAAGCGUGGGGAGCAAACAGG